UAUAAUUUCUAUUCCCUUCAGUAGACUCCAGGUGGGUGAAGUACUUUUUUAUAUAUCUUCUUUGCCCUAGACCCUACACAGUGCAGACAGUGGGUGCUCAGUGCACACUGAAGCGGGUGGGCGCUCGGGAGAACCCUAACAGGUCAAUCUGAAGCGACCAUGUCCUUUCUGGGCAGAAGAUGGCCAUUGUUCAAUAAAAGACUGCCAUGUGGAGCCCUGUCCAGAGAUAUUAUCCCACAAAUGCCUAUGGACAUCUGGAGUAAGUCCGUGCUAGGUCAUCUGUAUUGUACAGACAAGAUGCAGACCACCCCUGACAGGGAUAAUGUCUUAUCCAGGGACAAAAACAGGUAAGAUUGGAGAUCUGUUCCUGAAGACAAGUGUGCUUCCAAGCUGGGGCCCUGGUUGCUCCCAGGCCUUCCUUAGGGGCCUGUGUAGAGGGGUGUGUUGGUGUCACUGUGUACAGAUGUGGCCUUGCAUGCAAAAUGGGGAUGAGCAGACGGCAACCCUGAGCACUGUUUGUGUAGGUGUCAAUCCACCAGUGGACUUGGGUAGGUGAUCUCAGGCAGUGGAGUUACUUCCUUGACUGCAGACCCCAACAGAUUUGGGACCCCUGCAAACAGGCUUCCACAUUCUAGUGUAGUCUAGCACCACGGUUACUUGGCUGGAGACAUCCAAUAUUGAAAGGUGUUCUUCUGCUGUUUGCCUACUUCCCAGGACUCUGGCUCCCAGAAAACUCAGGGGAAUGACUUUUUCACAUGCUGCAUAUAUUGGCUCAAACCUCAUGGGCAAAGCCUCAGGGCAUUUGGCAGGAGGUCCGAUAAGGUAAUACAGAACAGCUUAUGCCAGGCCAAGCCACACUUCUGAGCCAUCCCAGGGCAGCCUCGUCCUCUCCUCUGGAAUUUCUGGCAAAGAGGGAUAUGUGGGGUUCCUGCCACUGGGAUAAAGGAGGUUGCAAGAUAAUGGAUACCAUGGUGAUACCUUUAUGUUCACACCAAUGUCAUGGUGGGCAGGGUGGAAAGGAUUCCUGAGGUGCAUCUUACCUCUCUCAGAGCUCAUCCAAGGCCCUGAAGCUGUGUCACAUUUCUCUCCUUGGUGGAGCUGUGUGCAUACUGGGGUUUGGUGUGUGUGGAAUGGAGUGCCCUGGGUCUGAGGACCUGCAAAGGCAGCCAGAUAGGGCUCUGAGGCCUCUUUCCUUGUUGCUGAGCACUGUCUUUACAGAGCUCCACACAGGAGAUCGGGCAGGAGCUGAAUGUUGAGAUCCUCUGCUCUACCUCCUUGAAGGAAAAAAGGUGCCCCAAAAUGCCAACAGAGUCCAGUGCUGGCUCAGGGUAAGUGCAGGUGCUGGGGACAUCCAUCCCCCAGUGUCCCAGUGGAGCAGAAAGGGACCCAUGUCCCAGAAGCCAGCCUAGUACUGCCGUGGGCUUCCUCCCACAGUUCUGAACCCACAUGAAUCUGCAUUAAGAUCUCCUUUUCAUACCUGCCCUCACUGCCCCCCCUACUUUGGCCUGAUGUAGAGUCAUUGUCCACAUAUUUGUAACAAUACCAGAAAAGAGACUUUAAACUAUGUCUCAUGUCAUUCAUCUAGAAUCCUUGUGCUCCCAGGUGUCCCCACGGACCUGACAGUCCUCCCCAAGUUCUGCAAGUCUUGUACAUGAUCAUGGUGAGUUGGGAGACUUUUACCCAAAGGGACAUGUUGCCAGUGGUACUAUGUCCCUUGCUCUGCCUUUUGGUUUUGAGGAAACACAUCCCUGGGGACCCUCCAGGGUCAGGAUCAGGAUCAGGGACUUCAUUGUGCUGCACAACAUUCCAGAAGGCCAGUCAUUUGUCACAGUCACUGAGCCCUUCAAUGAUGCAGGAUAUUGAUGUGAUUCUUUUUUGUUGCUAAGUCAUAGGGCUACACUAAACAUCCUACAUGUCAUAAUAUCCUGAGCUGUCUCACUUAAGAAAAUGUCUCUGUGUUCUCCUUUCAAGAAUGGAAUCUGUUAUCAGAAACCACAGGAUCGAUGCCGUUCAUGCAGGGGGUUGCUAUCAAUACUCAGUUCACAAAAUGACCUGAGAUACUAUCAAGGUCAGACUUCCUGGACUUCAAUUCUUUGCCAAAUCGGAUCACUGAUGAGGAGGAGUGAGACCUGUGUGCUAUGGACAAGCCGGGCCAACCUGCUAAAGAAGCAAACAAAACAUCUGGUGCCUAAUUUCCUAGGAAGAGUCCUCAGCUAUGCCUACAUGUUCCUGGGCACAUAACGAGCCAUUGCCACUACCCAAGAGGUGUUGGACCUGCAAAUACCAGGAGGUGUUUGCAAGGUGAGCACCCUCUCCCUAACGGCCCAGUUGGAUUUGGCCACCAAUUGCUGUGAGUCAUGGAAAUGUCCCCAAACUUCCUGAGCCUCAGUUUGAUCCUCUGACUGGGCCAGAGUUAUAUUAGGGACUCACGAAGUCUUGAAAGGAAAGUUCACCUGGGUACCUGGGCCUGUGCAAAGUGUGCUAGAGAGCCUGUGGUUUUACUCAUUUAUCAUUGUCCUGCUUGCCAUGAUGAAGCCUCUGCCUCAUCCCUCACUAUCACUAUGAUCUUGAGUUGGGCUGUUUUGCCAUUUGAAAGAGUGAUCCGAGACUCCAUUUGGGGUCUGUAUCUGGCGAUCCCUGGGGUUCAGAGGUGUUCCAAGCCCCACUCAGAUACCUGUGACGGGCUGGUUGGGGCCCUUUCAUUCAGCAAGUAUUCGGGAAGCCCCACUAGGUGCGGGUGCUUCUCUAGGACUUGACUGCGAUCCCUGUGCAGAGCAGACGGCAGCCCUGGUCUCUAGAGUAGUCAGGAGUCAGACAGUGAUAUUGGGCACAAUGAGAGGUAGCAUCCACAGGACAUUUCAUGUGAUGCCCUCUGGCCUCCUCUAGAUAUGGGUGCAUUUCCUCCAGCUGUGAUGAAGUGGUCAUAGGCCAGGAGCAGUGAAACAUGAGUGAUCUUCAGCUGAUGCAGGAGGGCCUUCCCUCUCCACCAGAGUAGCACGGGGUCUGUGAGUUGGAGGGAUUCUUGGAUCCUCAUCACACACAUCUGUGAUUCCUCCUUAAGUGUAAAGGUCUGAGAGUUUCUUCUGGAGAAAGGAAGGGGCUCAGGGGAACUGUGGGUGUGGGUACUGUGGGAGAGCAGAGGAGAAGGGAGGACAGCUUUAGCCCCUUAAAGAGUCAUUCCCCAUCACUGCACCCCCCCACCUGUGUCUCUAUCCCAAUCCUGGGACCUAGAAGAGAGUCUGUGGAACCAGCACACUCAGCAAUAUGUUGGAACCUGGUCACUGGGUGCUCAGAGGGUACUCAGGAGACCCAGUGAGAGGAUAGGCACCAGAUAUUUCAAACCCUGUGGGAGAUUAGUGACAGUGGAAGGAGACCCACUCAUGGCAUCGAGUGAAUAAGGAGGCACAUGGGCACAGGAGGUAACUUUUGAAGCAUUGGGAAGGCCUGGCUAGAGACAAAAUCCCCUUGCUCCCUCCUUGGUUGGAUCUUCAGAAAGCAGUGGCAUGUGCAAUCAGGGUAAUUAAGAGGCCAGAUGCCACCCCUCCCUGGGCACAUGCAGUUUAGUUCAUGUGGCAAGUGCACAAGGAGACAGACUGAGGAGUGUGUCCAGAUCUGCCAUGAAGGACAGAAAUGGUCCCACCAUUCAUCAAGAUCUCCCACUCACUGAGGCUCUUGCCAGCCUGUUGUCUGUGACAAGGCCUAUCUCAGGCAGGAUUGCAAGAUCACAUUUGGACAAGGAAUAGGACUGGACUCUGAUGGAAGUUGGAUGCCCAAUGACCCAGGUUCACAUAGGGUUCCCUAGGAUAUUUAUUUGGGAGGGUGCCCUGUCCUCUGAUUCCUCUUCCUAACUGUCUAUCCCCAGGGCAUCUCCUCCAUCUUGAACACAUGGCUAGAAAAAUAUUCUGAACAUUGUUACAGCCCCCAGAAUUUCCCAGCCUCAAUAUGCUGCUGGCAUACAUGGGGCUCAGGAUGCCAGGCUCAGACCAGGAGCACCGUGCCCAGCUUCUGCUCACACAGUUGCAACACCUUGAGCCCACGGAGCCAGAAGCUGUGGGUGAGAAGGACUGGUGGUGACUGAUGUGGCCUGAGGAGGGUACAGGGUUGGCCACACCGAGCAAGCCUCCAUAGAGUGCAGUCGGGUGGAGAGCAGUAAAUAGUCUCAGAUCCCGGCCCCGGUGGUCUUCAGUCAUGGAGACUUCACAGGGAUUGGUUCUUGGAUGCAGGCAACAUUGAGUGGUGGGGAAAGUUUCCUUUAUUUAGAAGGGACAUGGAAUUCAAUCAUGCUGAUGGUAUUUUUUCUUCAUGGAGAUACAGCACCAUGCCCAGAGCAACAUCCUACAUCAGGAACUCACCCCAACUCACACUCUGGCAUCCAUUGUAUCUUUGGAGACAAAGGUGGCCCUGACCCUCCCUGGUGCUGGAGCUCUCACGUUAAGAAGAGUGGUGACUCCAUCUGCCCUAUUGGGACCAGUGCGGGUGGUAGUCAGGGCUCUAAUUCACUCUUCUGAGAUGGAAGAGCCACCAGCUCUUUUUCCUGACCUGGAGGUCCAGCAGGGUCUAGCCCCUGCUAUUGAGGUCGAGAAGGGCUUGAGCCAGCCCCUGUCUCAGUGGAACCACCACGCUCAGCCCCCAAGCAGCAGCUCUUUCUGGCUGGAACCCUAAGGAUGGUUUCCCCUCCUCUGUCAGUGCUCUCUUUGUAAUUCUUGUGUUUUGGAUACACUUGUAAUGGCUUAAUGGAUUUUGUUCAUUAAAUAAAGUAGAAUUUGAGUUUA